UACGUAGGGUCCGAGCGUUGUCCGGAAUUACUGGGCGUAAAGAGCUCGUAGGUGGUUUGUCGCGUUGUCCGUGAAAACUCACAGCUCAACUGUGGGCGUGCGGGCGAUACGGGCAGACUGGAGUACUGCAGGGGAGACUGGAAUUCCUGGUAUAGCGGUGGAAUGCGCAGAUAUCAGGAGGAACACCGGUGGCGAAGGCGGGUCUCUGGGCAGUAACUGACGCUGAGGAGCGAAAGCGUGGGGAGCGAACAGG
rnacentral:rRNA from 1 species